UGAUGCUCAACGUGAAAUGGGGCUUCAC
rnacentral:piRNA from 2 species